rnacentral:rRNA from 1 species
GACGAACGCUGGCGGCGUGCUUAACACAUGCAAGUCGAACGGAAAGGCCCUGCUUUUGUGGGGUGCUCGAGUGGCGAACGGGUGUGUAACACGUGAGUAACCUGCCCUUGACUUUGGGAUAACUUCAGGAAACUGGGGCUAAUACCGGAUAGGAGCUCCUGCUGCAUGGUGGGGGUUGGAAAGUUUCGGCGGUUGGGGAUGGACUCGCGGCUUAUCAGCUUGUUGGUGGGGUAGUGGCUUACCAAGGCUUUGACGGGUAGCCGGCCUGAGAGGGUGACCGGCCACAUUGGGACUGAGAUACGGCCCAGACUCCUACGGGAGGCAGAAGGGGGGAAUAUUGCACAAUGGGCGGAAGCCUGAUGCAGCAACGCCGCGUGCGGGAUGACGGCCUUCGGGUUGUAAACCGCUUUCGCCUGUGACGAAGCGUGAGUGACGGUAAUGGGUAAAGAAGCACCGGCUAACUACGUG